rnacentral:rRNA from 1 species
UACGGAGGGUGCAAGCGUUAAUCGGAAUUACUGGGCGUAAAGCGCACGCAGGUGGCUGAGUCAGUCGAUUGUGAAAGCCCUGGGCUUAACCUGGGAAUUGCAGUCGAUACUACUCGGCUAGAGUAUGGGAGAGGGCAGUGGAAUUCCCGGUGUAGCGGUGAAAUGCGUAGAUAUCGGGAGGAACAUCAGUGGCGAAGGCGGCUCUCUGGACCACAACUGACGCUGAGGCGCGAAAGCUAGGGGAGCAAACAGG